rnacentral:rRNA from 1 species
UACGUAGGGGGCAAGCGUUGUUCGGAAUUACUGGGCGUAAAGGGCGCGUAGGCGGCAUGGCAAGUCGGGAGUGAAAGGCCUGGGCUCAACCGAGGAACUGCUUUCGAGACUGCCAAGCUAGAGUGCGGAAGGGGCAUCUGGAAUUCCCAGUGUAGCGGUGAAAUGCGUAGAUAUUGGGAAGAACACCUGAGGCGAAGGCGGGAUGCUGGGCCGACACUGACGCUGAGGCGCGAAAGCCAGGGGA